GUAGAUAUAGUUUAAUAAAAAUGUUAGAUUGUGAUUCUAAAGAUAGAGGUUAGACCCCUCUUAUCCACC
rnacentral:tRNA from 1 species